UACGGAGGGUGCGAGCGUUGUCCGGAAUCAUUGGGCGUAAAGGGCGCGUAGGUGGCCCGGUCAGUCUUUGGUGAAAGCGCGGGGCUCAACCCUGCGUCGGCCAGGGAUACUGCCGCGGCUGGAGCACUGUAGAGGCAGGCGGAAUUCCGGGUGUAGCGGUGGAAUGCGUAGAGAUCCGGAAGAACACCGGUGGCGAAGGCGGCCUGCUGGGCAGUUGCUGACACUGAGGCGCGACAGCGUGGGGAGCGAACCGG
rnacentral:rRNA from 1 species